rnacentral:rRNA from 1 species
CGCCGCGUGGAGGAUGAAGGUCUUCGGAUUGUAAACUCCUGUCAUUCGAGAGUAAGACUUGGUCGUGAAUAGCGGACAAGUUUGAUAGUAUCGGAAGAGGAAGGGACGGCUAACUUCGUGCCAGCAGCCGCGGUAAUACGAAGGUCCCAAGCGUUGUUCGGAAUCACUGGGCGUAAAGGGAGCGUAGGCGGCGUGGUAAGUCAGAUGUGAAAUCCCGGGGCUCAACCCCGGAACUGCAUCCGAUACUGCCAUGCUUGAGGGUUGGAGAGGUAGCUGGAAUUCUCGGUGUAGCAGUGAAAUACGUGGAUAUCGAGAGGAACACUCGUGGCGAAGGCGAGCUACUGGACAACAUCUGACGCUGAGGCUCGAAGGCUAGGGGAGCGAAAGGGAUUAGAUACCCCUGUAGUCCUAGCAGUAAACGGUGUGCGCUUGGUGUGAGGGGAUUCGACCCCCCUUGUGCCGGAGCUAACGCGUUAAGCGCACCGCCUGGGAAGUACGGCCGCAAGGCUAAAACUCAAAGAAAUUGACGGGGACCCGCACAAGCGGUGGAGUAUGUGGCUUAAUUCGAUGCAACGCGAAGAACCUUACCAAGGCUUGACAUGCAUCUCUAAGCGCGUGAA